rnacentral:ncRNA from 2 species
UAUAAUGUCCAUGCAAGAGGUGCUGUACAUACGCUGCAGCUUAAAAGGGAAGAGCGGUGAGAAGCCGCCACGGUCGCGCCACUGUGAAGGGGAGUUUCUAUCAUAGCCACUGCGAAAGCGGGAAGGGAUAGAAGAACGAUGAACCUAAGUCAGGAGACCUGCCACUUGUUUGCGCUUUAU